AUGCACGGUGUGUUUGAAAAUGGGCUGUUACCAGACUUCUUUACCCUUCAGAACACAAGCCUCUACGCUCACCGCUCCACCAUACCUCAUCGGAUUUCACCCCUGGACCACGCCUCGCUCCUCCAACCCAACCUUUCUCCUGAGUUCCAUCGGAGGAUUCCUAAAGAUCCUGCCACACUCAGACCUGACCUCCCUUCCCUCAGGAACUUGUUCUCCCCCACCGGAACUGUAAGCACAGUUUAUUCAUCUCCUUCACCUGCCAACAGUUACUGACUCGUGUCUGUUUCUAGACCCUCUCCCUCGGACCGGCAGAUCGCUGAGACCUUCUCUUCCCUUUUGAAUGGUGCUACUUAUUUUAAAUAAACCUUUUUUUACGUUUUGCUCACCCAGUUGUCUCGUGUUCCUGAUUCUGUAUGUCUAGGGUCAGAAGAAUUUUUCCCACUUCACCCAGCAUUAAAUAAAAAGUGAGACGUACUUUUGGUGUUGGAGUGUCUUUAGAGAGAUGGAAUUGAAAAGCAGGAAAGACACAGUAUUUAUUACAGAUUAGCUUUUUGGUGUAUUGUAUUUUCCCCAACUGCUCUCAUUGUUUUACACAACUUUACCAGCAUGACAUCCUGUUGUGUUUACAGGUGUUAAUGCAUUCUGAUGAGGAAUCUCAGCUUCCCCCUUAAUCACCUGCACCUUAGUGGCUCUACUCGGCGUUCUUCUCAGGGGUGGGGGUCAUUUUCACCAACAUUUCUGGGUGAAGUUCUCUUUGCUACCUCAUUUCCUGCUAUUUUGCUGUUUUUUUUCUCCAAAGUGAUCCUUUUCAGUGUAGCUAAUGUGUGAAAUAAGGAAUACAGUUAAAAACAUACUGAACGUAUAUUUACCUAGUUUAUUUACUUCGUUUUCCAUGUAAAUAAAUCCAGCAGAUUGCAUCAAGUCAAUAAAUCCAGAAGGUACAGUUAAACUACGAUCAAAGGCUUGACCUUGCAUGACCUCUGAGAUCACUGUCUGCUCCCUGCGUCCGCCAGUUUAAUGUGCACACACACUGAAAUGUCUGCCUGAGUGGAGACCUGACAGCAGGUUAAAUGUCCCCAACAUGGAGGUGCUCUUGUUUGCCUUGACUCUGAAUCUGAAACUUUAUUUGGGCCAGCCUCCUCCUGACAGCUUUACAGCGCUGAGAGCGCCGCACCAUUGAGACCCAGUGGCUUGACUCACCAUUCCAGACUGUUAUGGUCACCGGGCUGCUGCAGUCCUUUUACUCCCACCUAUAAACUGUUUGGUUUGGUGGCUUUGGUGUGGAUUCACACGGUCUGUCACUCACAGAAAACAAAUGGAUGUAUUUCGUACCAGAACCACUCAUUAGGCCGCUCUGGUCCAAACAGAUUAAAUAUUAGCUAAAUAAGACCGUCUGAAGAUGAUUUUAGGGGGUUUGGUUACAUCUUGAUCAACGUCUUUAAAGUGUGUGUGUGUGUGGUCGGGGUCUGAUUAGGAAUAAACAACACUACUUUAAACAUGGUCAUCAGUGAAACUGCAGCAGAUCUAAGUUUUUAUUUAUUCUCUGUGUUAUUUGAUGAGUUUUCUCUCUUCCUGUAUUUCAGCUUUCCCAUUCAGCUGACAGCUACGUAAACCCUCCAACAGACCCCAGCUGCUCUCUGAGAUCCAAUCAUUCUGGAGGGAAUGAGAGGGACGUGCUGCACUCGAGCUGAUUAAACUAAAAUAAAACAAAGAAGCAAGAACCACUCUCAUGUCUGAUUAUCUAUCUGUUUACCCAUCUGCCUGUUUUGACUGACAGCAGCUGUUCCCCCCCCCCCUCUGCCUAUUAGAGUUGCCUGAUACUUAAUAAACAAACAGAGAGUUUCUCUAUCAACCCGUCCAGAGUCGCCUCUGCAGCGGUGAUCAGUGCAAACCAACAGAGGAGAGUUAGUCUCUGUUUAAUACACUUUUUCAUUGUAUUUUAUUUUUGAAAAUGUCUGCAUAUGUAACAACGCCCCUGAAGUUUGUGGCUUCAGUGGAUAAAAGCUCCAUCAGAUGGUUGUUGCAUCACUGAGCUGGUUUGUGGGUUGAUGUCCAUUUGCUGAUUUUCUCAUUGCGUCUUUUAAAAUGUCCUGUGUGUGUUUUAGAGUUUGUUAGUCAAUGGAAAUGAUACUCGAGGAGACCGGUUCUUGUCUGACUCUCAUUUUAGGGUCUCUCUACUUCAUAAAUGUGAAUGACAAAGCCGUCUUGUUUCCUUGUAGUCUGCCCAACAACUUAAACCCAGCUCUAGAAGAAUGAGGUCAGCAGGACUUAAGCGAUGUUUGUGACCCAGAAUCGGUCAAUCAUUGUCACUCUAAGAUUAUUCUGAGGAUUCUGUGAAGACUGAUCCACAGUUCAGGCUUCUUUGUAGGCAUUUUACCCAAUAAAGCUAAUUUAUGACCUGAAAGAAUUCACCAGUGUGUAGUUUAGUACUAAGAGUGUAAAGGUCACAAAAGAUAUCUGAUCUGAGAAGUUUUAACCUUGUUUUCCCUUUUUGUUUUGUUCAGUAAAGAUGUGCAAAACCCAAAAAGUAUCUUCAUAAGUAUCAUAUUUUCCAUUUUUGGCUCAGUCUGGACCAUGGACGUAAUUUUUUUGGGGGGGACAGGGGGGACAUGUCCCCCCCCCACUUUUUCCAAAGUCAAGUUUUGACCCCUGCACUUUUUACCAUCCAAAAACAAUAUUACGCUAUAUUAAAUUGACACUGGUUAAGCUCUAGGACCAAGCGGAAAACAACCAUUUGUGUUGAAGCCUCUUUCCCAUUAGAGCAUACUGUUAAGAAACCCCCCCCAUCCCGGGAAACGGGAGUGAAAAGCGUUCCACACAGCGGAUCCCGUGACUUCUAAAUCACGGGAGAAUUGCAACGCCAAGCGUGACUUCAGAAGUCCACACACAACAGUAAGCAAGUGGAAAGACAGCUGCAUAUAUGAAAAGGGUCUGUGGUUUAUUUUUUGUUCUUUACAUCAGCUACGGGGGUUAUAACAGGAACCUGCAUGUGACUUUAAUAUUGGAUGUUUCCAGAUGUGUUUUACUCUGCUUUGUGUUUGACUUCCUGUCCGGCGUGGUCUAAACUGUGGAGUUUGACGUGUUUUCGAAGCGUCGUGCAUAAAAAAUAGACUUGAAACGUAAUGACGGCAUCCCCUCACUUCUGGGGCGCGUCCAAAACGUCACACUUUGCUGCCGGCGGAAAGGAACUCAUCCACCAUAACGGCAGCUAAAUGCUGCGUUGUAGGUUUCUCGGCCGUUUUGCGACGCUUUCACAUGCAGUGGAAAGGAGGGGGUAAUCACACCGGCAUCAACCCACGAGAAAGACCUGUUUGAG
ensembl:lncRNA